AACCCGUGCCCCACUAGUCUGGGAUACCACUUGGAAACAGGUGCUAAUACCGGAUAAGAAAGCGGAUCGCAUGAUCAGCUUUUAAAAGGCGGCGUAAGCUGUCGCUAUGGGAUGGCCCCGCGGUGCAUUAGCUAGUUGGUAAGGUAAAGGCUUACCAAGGCGAUGAUGCAUAGCCGAGUUGAGAGACUGAUCGGCCACAUUGGGACUGAGACACGGCCCAAACUCCUACGGGAGGCAGCAGAC
rnacentral:rRNA from 1 species